GCGGGUGAAAUACCCGCACGCCGUAAGACUAAGGUUUCCUGGAUCCAUGUUAAUCAGAACAGGGUUAGUCGGGGCCUAAGGAAAAGCCGCAAGGCGGAUCCGAUGGGAAAUCGGUUAAUAUUCCGAUACCUCUAAAUAUUUCGAAGCGGGGACGAAGGAGCGUAAGGCAUGCGUACUGACUGAAUAGUACGUUAAAGGCCAUAGGCGUUGAGGAUAAUAGUUAAGUACGUUAUCCGAGCUGAAAGCUGAUAGUACUGAUUACUCUUCGGAGUAAUUAGAUAAUUGCCCCAAGCAGGCUUCCGAGAAAAGCCGCUAAGGUUAGGUAUUUAGAGCCCGUACCGUAAACCGACACAGGUAGUCGAGGAGAGUAUCCUAAGGCGCUCUAGUGAUUCGUGGCUAAGGAACUAGGCAAAAUAGGCUCGUAACUUCGGGAGAAGAGUCCCCUGAGUAAUCAGGGCGCAGUGAAGAGGCCCAGGCAACUGUUUAACAAAAACACAGGACUCUGCUAAAUCGAAAGAUGAUGUAUAGGGUCUGACACCUGCCCGGUGCUGGAAGGUUAAGGAAGGGGGUUAGUCGCAAGGCGAAGCUCUUAACUGAAGCCCCAGUAAACGGCGGCCGUAACUAUAACGGUCCUAAGGUAGCGAAAUUCCUUGUCGGGUAAGUUCCGACCUGCACGAAUGGUGUAAUGAUAUGGGCACUGUCUCAGCCACGAGCUCGGUGAAAUUGAAGUAUCGGUGAAGAUACCGAUUACCCGCAACGGGACGGAAAGACCCCGUGAACCUUUACUAUAGCUUAACAUUGUGUUUGGUUGUAUGAUGUGUAGGAUAGGUGGGAGACUUUGAAGUGGUUACGCUAGUAGUCAUGGAGUCGUCGUUGAAAUACCACCCUUUAUGCAAUUAGAUUCUAACCGUGCACCGCGUGGGACAUUGUUUGGUGGGUAGUUUGACUGGGGUGGUCGCCUCCAAAAGAGUAACGGAGGCUCGCAAAGGUACCCUCAGCAUGGUCGGUAAUCAUGCGCAGAGCGUAUUAGUACAAGGGUGCUUGACUGGGAGACGGACGCGUCGAGCAGGUACGAAAGUAGGCUAAAGUGAUCCGGUGGUUCCGUAUGGAAGGGCCAUCGCUCAAAGGAUAAAAGGUACUCCGGGAUAACAGGCUGAUCUCCCCCAAGAGCUCAUAUCGACGGGGAGGUUUGGCACCUCGAUGUCGGCUCGUCACAUCCUGGGGCUGGAGAAGGUCCCAAGGGUUCGGCUGUUCGCCGAUUAAGGUGGCACGCGAGCUGGGUUCAGAACGUCGCAAGACAGUUCGGUCCCUAUCUGUUGUGGGCGUAGGAAUAUUGAAGGGCUCUGACUCUAGUACGGGAGGACCGAGUUGGACGAACCUCUAGUGUAUCAGUUGUGCCGCCAGGUGCAGUGCUGAGUAGCUACGUUCGGUGUGGAUAAGCGCUGAAAGCAUCUAAGCGCGAAGCCCUCCCUAAGAUGAGUAUUCCAGCGAGGCAACUCGCGAAGGGACGUGGAAGAUGACCACGUUGAUAGGCUAUAGAUGGAAGCGUAGUGAUACGUGUAGUCGAGUAGUACUAAUUACCCAAUAACUUCC
rnacentral:rRNA from 1 species